CAGGACGCUAGCUCAGGACGCCAGCUCAGGACGCCAGCUCAGGGCGCCAGCUCAGGGCGUCGCUCAGGGCGUCGGUGUGCAGAGCAGCGAUGGACCCGAGGGUCUGGAGCUGGGAGUGCUGAUCCGAUCGACGUGGUGAAAGCCUCACUUUGCUGUCUGGACAAGUACUGCCAGGGGCCCGCGGGGACCGGGAUCGCUGUGCAGAGGCCCCACUGGCCCUCAGGAGAGCCGUGUUCGGCUGCCCAGGUGCAGGCGGUGGGCUGGGUGCAGCCACGUGACAGGUCCUGCCGAGAGAUGAUGAUGAAGGCAACAUCAAGCCCAGGAGGCUCGGCCCUGAGUUUGCCGCCAGGUGAGGGUACGCUUGGGUGGGAGGGCGGAGACGGGGAGGGUGGAAAGAUCAUUGAGGGAUCAUCAGGACCGGCAGGUGGAGGCAGAG
rnacentral:lncRNA from 1 species